rnacentral:rRNA from 1 species
ACGUACACUCCUGCGGGAGGCAGCAGUGGGGAAUAUUGGACAAUGGGCGCAAGCCUGAUCCAGCCAUGCCGCGUGAGUGAUGAAGGCCCUAGGGUUGUAAAGCUCUUUCACCGGUGAAGAUAAUGACGGUAACCGGAGAAGAAGCCCCGGCUAACUUCGUGCCAGCAGCCGCGGUAAUACGAAGGGGGCUAGCGUUGUUCGGAUUUACUGGGCGUAAAGCGCACGUAGGCGGACUAUUAAGUCAGGGGUGAAAUCCCGGGGCUCAACCCCGGAACUGCCUUUGAUACUGGUAGUCUUGAGUUCGAGAGAGGUGAGUGGAAUUCCGAGUGUAGAGGUGAAAUUCGUAGAUAUUCGGAGGAACACCAGUGGCGAAGGCGGCUCACUGGCUCGAUACUGACGCUGAGGUGCGAAAGCGUGGGGGGCAAACAGGAUUAGAAACCCGGGUAGUCCCAUG